rnacentral:rRNA from 1 species
CUACGGGAGGCAGCAGUGGGGAAUAUUGCACAAUGGGCGAAAGCCUGAUGCAGCGACGCCGCGUGCGGGAAAAAGGCCUUCGGGUUGUAAACCGCUUUCAAUUGGGAAGAAGAGAUGAGCGCUAAUAUCGCUCUGAUUUGACGGUACCUUUAGAAGAAGCACCGGCUAAUUUCGUGCCAGCAGCCGCGGUAAUACGAAAGGUGCAAGCGUUGUUCGGAUUUACUGGGCGUAAAGAGAUCGUAGGUGGUUUGUUAAGUCGGAUGUGAAAUCCCAAGGCUCAACCUUGGAACUGCAUUCGAUACUGGCAGGCUAGAGUUUGGGAGGGGUAAGCGGAAUUCCGUGUGUAGCAGUGAAAUGCGUAGAUAUACGGAGGAACACCUGAGGCGAAGGCGGCUUACUGGACCAAUACUGACACUGAGGAUCGAAAGCGUGGGUAGCAAACAGGAUUAGAUACCCUGGUAGUCCACGCCCUAAACGAUGUCAACUAGCCGUAGCGGGUAUCGACCCCUGCUGUGGCGAAGCUAACGCGAUAAGUUGACCGCCUGGGGAGUACGGUCGCAAGAUUAAAACUCAAAGGAAUUGACGG